GCCAAAUAAUUAUGUGACAUCAUAUUUAUUUUGGGAAUUAAGGAGAGGAGUCCUUCUCCUUUACUUAUCUUAAUUUCUUUACAUCUUCCACACAUCCCUUAUUUUUGUGUGCCAUCAGAUGGUGCCUUGGGAUAUGGGGUGUGGAAGAGGAAAAGGAGUCCUUCUCUAGGAAGGAACUCCAUGCGAAAAUAGAUAAGGGACGCCCACUUUUUUAUGUGAUGAAAUUAAAGAGUCCAUUUCAUAACAAACUCUUAAUUCUUUCUUUUAAUUCUCCAUGCAUUUCUUAAAUCCUCGUGACAUAAGAUGUCUCUUGGGAUUAUGGGGCACAG
rnacentral:lncRNA from 1 species